GCCGAUUUGGUCCUAGUCCCUAUCUUAACUUUUUUAAAACUGCCACAUGCAAGCUGAACUAACAAACCAGUGAAGUAUAACCCGCUACCCUUCUCCUCCCUAUAAAGAAAGAAUCAGUAGCGUACUAGAAGCAUCAGGCACAACACCACCGGCCUAAGACGCCAAGUAAAUACUACCACAUCUGCAGUGCUAAACCUUAGACAAUUAGAGACAUCUAGAUCUAGUUAAGAAAAAUUAGGGGGUAAAGUACGUGCCAGCCACCGCGGUUAUACGUACACCCUAAAGCUAAAAACUAACGGUAAAAAGAGCGACCAGGAGACCUUACACUUUGAUUAUAGUCUCAACCAAGCGGUAAAAAGCUAAUCUUGAGAAAAUUUCCUAGAAUCAAUAUAGUGUUUUAUUUGCCUCGCGAAAGCUAAGGCCUAAACCAGGAUUAGAUACCCUGUUAUACUUAGCCGUAAACCAAUAAAAUCACCAGAGAACUACAAGCCACACGCUUAAAACUCAAAGGACUUGGCGGUUUCCCAAACCUACCUGGAGGAGCUUGCCGUUGAAUCGAUAACCCACGAUACACCUCACCAGCCCUAGUAAAUUACAGCUUGUAUACCAUCGUCGUAAGCCUACUUCUCAAGAAAGUUCACACAAAGACACCCAGUCUUAACGUCAGAUCAAGGUGCAGCUUAUGGGUUGGGAACUGGUGAGCUACAAAGUCACUCCAACAGCCUGUGAAAAGGGGAAUGAAAACUUCCUCUUGAAACUGGAUUCAGCAGUAAGUAUUAUAAGAAAGUAAUACUGAAGUCAGCUCUGGGAUGCGUACACAUCGCCCGUCACUCUCGCCUAGCAGAACAGCUAUAGCAAGGGGAGAAAAGUCGUAACACAGUAGACGUAUCGGAAGAUGCGCCUGGAAAAC
rnacentral:ncRNA from 1 species